rnacentral:misc_RNA from 1 species
UCUCCCGUGAGGGAGCAGUCUCGCCUGACACUUGUAACAGGCAACGAGGGUUGCGUUCGUUUCCCCACUUAAGGGAACACUUCAAAGCACGAACUGACGACGGCCAUGCAUCACCUGCCAUACACCCUCGAAGGAUUCUCUCUUUUCGGAGAGCGUGCAGUAUGGUUUCUAGCCUUGGUAAGGUUAUCGCUUAGCGACGAAUUAAGCCACGCGCUCCACCGCUUGUGCGAGCCCCCGUCUAUUCCUUUGAGUUUUAAUCUUGCGAUCGUACUACCCAGGCGGUCCGCUUAUCGCGUUAGCUUCGCCACGAAGAGGGUCGAUACUCCUCAUAGCUAGCGGACAUCGUUUAGGGCGUGGACUAC